rnacentral:snRNA from 1 species
GUGCUCGCUUCGGCAGCAUAUAUACUAAAAUUGGAACGAUACAGAGAAGAUUAGCAUGGCCCCUGCACAAGGAUGACACGCAAAUUUGUGAAGCAUUCCAUAUUUUU